rnacentral:rRNA from 1 species
UACGUAGGGUGCGAGCGUUGUCCGGAAUUAUUGGGCGUAAAGAGCUCGUAGGCGGCUUGUCGCGUCGGAUGUGAAAGCCCGGGGCUUAACUCCGGGUCUGCAUUCGAUACGGGCAGGCUAGAGUUCGGUAGGGGAGAUCGGAAUUCCUGGUGUAGCGGUGAAAUGCGCAGAUAUCAGGAGGAACACCGGUGGCGAAGGCGGAUCUCUAGGCCGAUACUGACGCUGAGGAGCGAAAGCGUGGGGAGCGAACAGG